GACGAACGCUGGCGGCGUGCCUAAUACAUGCAAGUCGAAUGCAGUUGCGAACGGGUGAGUAACGCGUAGGUAACUGCCUCAUAGCGGGGGAUAACUAUUGGAAACGAUAGCUAAUACCGCAUACUGUGAGAUGGACCUGGGUUGUAGUGGCUAGUUGGUGAGGUAAAGGCGCACCAAGGCGACGAUGCAUAGCCGACCUGAGAGGGUGAUAGGACACACGGGGACUGAGACACGGCCCAGACUCCCACGGGAGGCAGCAGUAGGGAAGCGUCGGAAAUGGACGGAAGUCUGACCGACCAACGCCGCGUGAGUGAGGAAGGGUUGCGGGUCGUAAAGCUCUGUUGUUAGAGAAGCGGUAACGAACCAGAAGGGGACGGCUAACUACGUGCCAGCGGCGGGGGUAAUU
rnacentral:rRNA from 1 species